rnacentral:rRNA from 1 species
GAUGAACGCUGGCGGCGUGCUUAACACAUGCAAGUCGAACGAGGUCCAACCUUCGGGUGAAGACCGAGUGGCGAACGGGUGAGUAACACGUGGGGAACCUGCCCUUCUCUCUGGGAUAACGUCGAGAAAUCGGUGCUAAUACCGGAUACUCCUUGCGGAUCGCAUGGUCUGCUCGGGAAAGCUUUUGCGGAGAUGGAUGGCCCCGCGGCCCAUUAGCUAGUUGGUGAGGUAACGGCUCGCCAAGGCGACGAUGGGUAGCCGAGCUGAGAGGCUGAUCGGCCACACUGGGACUGAGACACGGCCCAGACUCCUACGGGAGGCAGCAGUGGGGAAUUUUGCGCAAUGGGCGAGAGCCUGACGCAGCAACGCCGCGUGCGGGAUGAAGGCCUUCGGGUUGUAAACCGCUUUCAGCAGGGACGAACGUGACGGUACCUGCAGAAGAAGCCCCGGCUAACUACGUGCCAGCCGCCGCGGUAAAAC